GACGAACGCUGGCGGCGUGCCUAAUAUAUGCAAGUAGAACGCUGAAGAGAGGAGCUUGCUCUUCUUGGAUGAGUUGCGAACGGGUGAGUAACGCGUAGGUAACCUGCCUGGUAGCGGGGGAUAACUAUUGGAAACGAUAGCUAAUACCGCAUAAAAUUGAUUAUUGCAUGAUAAUUAAUUGAAAGAUGCAACUGCAUCACUACCAGAUGGACCUGCGUUGUAUUAGCUAGUUGGUGAGGUAACGGCUCACCAAGGCGACGAUACAUAGCCGACCUGAGGGGGUGAGCGGCCACACUGGGACUGAGACACGGCCCAGACUCCUACGGGAGGCAGCAGUAGGGAAACGUCGGCAAUGGGGGGAACCCUGACCGAGCAACGCCGCGUGAGUGAAGAAGGUUUUCGGAUCGUAAAGCUCUGUUGUAAGAGAAGAACGGGUGUGAGAGUGGAAAGUUCACACUGUGACGGUAACUUACCAGAAAGAGACGGCUAACUACGUG
rnacentral:rRNA from 1 species